GCAGCCUUAUGUAUGUAGCUGAAACCACCUGUACUACUGGAAUGAAGCACCUUUACAGAAGAGGCAGUGCAAGUUGUAUCAAUCACAUGCAUAGAAUGAAUUAAGAUUUAUGCCAGUUGCAAAGAAGAAUGUUGGUUCACUAUUUUUCCUCUGGGCAUCAGCACUGAUCCCCUGUUGAAGACAGAUAAAUACAUGUUUCUGGUGUAGAAGAUUAUCAGUAUGAUCCAUACACUUAAGGAAAGAUCUCAUAUUAUUGAAACAAAUAUUUUAUUUGAUAAAUUGAACUACAGAAUAAAGUACUUUUAACAAAC